UACGAAGGGGGCUAGCGUUGCUCGGAAUUACUGGGCGUAAAGGGCGCGUAGGCGGACAGUUAAGUCAGAGGUGAAAGCCCAGGGCUCAACCCUGGAAUUGCCUUUGAUACUGGCUGUCUUGAGUGCGGGAGAGGUGUGUGGAACUCCGAGUGUAGAGGUGAAAUUCGUAGAUAUUCGCAAGAACACCAGUGGCGAAGGCGGCUCACUGGCCCGGUACUGACGCUGAGGCACGAAAGCGUGGGGAGCAAACAGG
rnacentral:rRNA from 1 species